UACGUAGGGGGCAAGCGUUGUCCGGAUUUAUUGGGCGUAAAGAGCGUGUAGGCGGCUUGGCAAGUCCGCUGUGAAAACUCGAGGCUCAACCUCGAGACGUCGGUGGAAACUGCCUCGCUAGAGUCCGGAAGAGGAGAGUGGAAUUCCUGGUGUAGCGGUGAAAUGCGCAGAUAUCAGGAAGAACACCCGUGGCUAAGGCGGCUCUCUAGUACGGUACUGACGCUGAGACGCGAAAGCGUGGGGAGCGAACAGG
rnacentral:rRNA from 2 species